ACUGUGCAGGUGCAAUGGAUACACAUUUGAAAUGUAGUUUUGAAAGACAUUUGCAGGAGAAUGAAGCCCACCAUAAACAUCCAGAAAAUACCAAGUCUUUCAAGAUUGCAGCAGUCUGUGUGCUGCAAAGCAUGCCUGGGCUGAGCUGUAGCAGGCUGCUUGGGGUCAUGAGAAGGGUGAUUUUAAGGACAAGAGGAAGCACUUCCUUAUUGGUGUGUCCUUAGGUCAAGGGCUUUGUGGGCUAAAGGGAUGAAGCGUAUGAACAGCAGCUGCAAGAGAAGUUAUAUUCGCUGGAAUUAGUAAAAAAAAUUAGGGGCAUACUUUAUAGAACUUGCUCUGAUCAGUUUGGGGUACCAUUCAAAGAUGUAGCAUGAAAGCCCCCUAUUUUUUGGAGAUCUGUCAAUCAUUGCUCUUGGGUUGUUAAAUUUUGGGUAUGAGUUUGAUGAAGGCUAUAUAAUUUUUAAUCAAUUAAAGUCUAUUAUCUGCUAUAAAACAAAAGAGAAGCCCAUCUUCUCUCUCAAUACCGUUGCAACUGCUGAGAACAUGAGCACUAUGAUGUCACUGAUGCUGAUUUGCUGCAGAGUUAUCAGGAAAUCAAUCUGGCCAGCAUCAUCUACUACACCCUGAAAGCAUCCACCACUAGUGAGCAGAGUGCCAGGAUGACCACCACAGACAACUGCAGAAAGAAUGCUUCUGCCAUGAUUGACAAAUUGGAUUCGAUGUACAAAUGCAUGCAUCAGGAUGUCAUCACAAAGGAGUGGGUUGAAAUCAUCUCUGGGACUACUGCUCUGCAUUA
rnacentral:lncRNA from 1 species